rnacentral:rRNA from 1 species
CCUACGGGAGGCAGCAGUGGGGAAUAUUGCACAAUGGGGGAAACCCUGAUGCAGCGACGCCGCGUGAGCGAAGAAGUAUUUCGGUAUGUAAAGCUCUAUCAGCAGGGAAGAAAAUGACGGUACCUGAGUCAGAAGCUCCGGCUAAAUACGUGCCAGCAGCCGCGGUAAUACGUAUGGAGCAAGCGUUAUCCGGAUUUACUGGGUGUAAAGGGAGCGCAGGCGGCCUAGCAAGUCUGUUGUGAAAUGCCGGGGCUCAACCCCGGAGCUGCAUUGGAAACUGUGAGGCUGGAGUGUCGGAGAGGCAGGCGGAAUUCGUGGUGUAGCGGUGAAAUGCGUAGAUAUUAGGAGGAACACCAGUGGCGAAGGCAGCCUGCUAGACGAUGACUGACGCUGAGGCUCGAAAGCGUGGGGAGCAAACAGGAUUAGAUACCCCUGUAGUC